AUGUGUCCUUUGGUUGAAACAUGAACUCUCUUUCUUUCGCUCGCGAACAUUGUGAUUUUGCGGCACAAUGUCUCGUCUUCUUCACACAUCCUUCCUUCUUCAUCCUCCACAUUUCCGAGUUAACAAGCUUCCCCGUCCAAGCCAAGAACAGAGAGAUCUCCAUGCCUUGCUUCAGUUCCAACAUGACCCAAAGAUUUAAGUCGUUAUUGAUCACUCCAGUCCACUGCUUCAGCCUUUGUAAUUAAACGAAUUGGUUCGAGCCAAGCAGAUGUAAGCCUCAGGAGUACAACACUGGUGAAACCUGAUAGUAUAAUAAUACUUUAAUCUAAUGCAAAGAGAUUGUUUCUUAUUCCUUCCGGGUUAAAUUCACUCUCUGUCUAACCUCGGAAUGUUUGGUGUUGUUUCACAUUCAUCUGAUAUUGACUGAUUUAAACUACAAAUUUGAAUGCAUUGGAUCCUUGUUGUU